rnacentral:rRNA from 1 species
UACAGAGGGUGCAAGCGUUGUUCGGAAUUACUGGGCGUAAAGCGCGCGUAGGCGUCCUGUUAAGUCGAACGUGAAAUCCCCGGGCUCAACCCGGGAACUGCGUCCGAUACUGGCAGGCUUGAAUUCGGGAGAGGGAUGCGGAAUUCCAGGUGUAGCGGUGAAAUGCGUAGAUAUCUGGAGGAACACCGGUGGCGAAGGCGGCAUCCUGGACCGAGAUUGACGCUGAGGCGCGAAAGCCAGGGGAGCAAACGGG